GAUUAUGGCUCAGGAUGAACGCUGGCGGCGUGCCUAACACAUGCAAGUCGAACGGGGUUACUGGCAGCGGAGAUUCGGUCAAAGCAGCUUUAACCUAGUGGCGGACGGGUGAGUAACGCGUGGGGAACCUGCCCUGUACUGGGGGAUAACAGUGAGAAAUCACUGCUAAUACCGCAUAAGCGCACAGCAUCGCAUGAUGCAGUGUGAAAAACUGAGGUGGUACAGGAUGGCUCCGCGUUGGAUUAGCCAGUUGGCGGGUAACGGCCCACCAAAGCGACGAUCCCAUAGCCGGCCUGAGAGGGUGAACGGCCACAUCGGGACUGAGACACGGCCCAGACUCCUACGGGAGGCAGCAGUGGGGAAUAUUGCACAAUGGGGGAAACCCUGAUGCAGCCGACGCCGCGUGAAGGAAGAAGUAUCUCGGUAUGUAAACUUCUAUCAGCAGGGAAGAUGAUGACGGUACCUGACUAAGAAGCCCCGGCUAACUACGUGCCAGCAGCGGC
rnacentral:rRNA from 1 species